GAGAGAGAGAGAGAGAGAGAGAGAGAGAGAGAGAGAGAGAGAGCAAGCCUGGAUUUUAGGUAUGUUGUCAGUCUUACUCAGUCCUUCACAGCGAUUGGUGGUCUCCCUCUCUCUCUCUCCCUCUCUCUCUCUCUCUCUCUCUCUCGUCCAUUCAUACGUGUCCCAGUGGAAAUCAUUAUUAUUAUUAUUAUUAUUAUUAUUAUUAUUAUUUUUUUUUUUGCUUUUGUGUUGAAAAUAUUGAUUGUUUCGAUUAUUUGGGGGUACGUGGGAAAGACGAAGAAGAGGAAGAAGGAAGAGAAGA